rnacentral:rRNA from 1 species
GACGAACGCUGGCGGCGUGCUUAACACAUGCAAGUCGAACGAGUGGCGAACGGGUGAGUAACAUAUCGGAACGUACCGAGUAAUGGGGGAUAACUAAUCGAAAGAUUAGCUAAUACCGCAUAUUAUUCGAGCGGCCGAUAUCUGAUUAGCUGGUUGGUGGGGUAAAGGCCUACCAAGGCGACGAUCAGUAGCGGGUCUGAGAGGAUGAUCCGCCACACUGGGACUGAGCCACGGCCCAGACUCCUACGGGAGGCAGCAGUGGGGAAUAUUGCACAAUGGGCGCAAGCCUGAUGCAGCCAUGCCGGGUGUAUGAAGAAGGCCCUAGGGUUGUAAAGUACUUUCAGUCGGGAGGCGUUACCGACAGAAGAAGCACCGGCUAACUCCGUGCCAGCAGCCGCGGUAAUUC